rnacentral:rRNA from 1 species
UACGUAGGGCGCAAGCGUUGUCCGGAAUUAUUGGGCGUAAAGAGCUCGUAGGCGGUUUGUCGCGUCUGCUGUGAAAACUCGAGGCUCAACCUCGGGCCUGCAGUCGAUACGGGCGGACUAGAGUUCGGUAGGGGAGACUGGAAUUCCUGGUGUAGCGGUGAAAUGCGCAGAUAUCAGGAGGAACACCGGUGGCGAAGGCGGGUCUCUGGGCCGACACUGACGCUGAGGAGCGAAAGCAUGGGUAGCGAACAGG